GAUGAAGAACGCAGCGAAAUGCGAUAAGUAAUGUGAAUUGCAGAAUUCAGUCAAUCAUCGAAUCUUUGAACGCACAUUGCGCCCCCUGGUAUUCCGGGGGGCAUGCCUGUCCGAGCGUCAUUACAACCCUCAAGCUCAGCUUGGUGUUGGGCCCCGCCGCCCCGGCGGGCCCUAAAGUCAGUGGCGGUGCCGUCCGGCUCCGAGCGUAGUAAUUCUUCUCGCUCUGGAGGUCCGGUCGUGUGCUCGCCAGCAACCCCCAAUUUUUUUCAGGUUGACCUCGGAUCAGGUAGGGAUACCCGCUGAACUUAAGCAUAUCAAUAAGCGGAGGA
rnacentral:misc_RNA from 1 species